rnacentral:rRNA from 1 species
GACGAACGCUGGCGGCGUGCUUAACACAUGCAAGUCGAACGGAAAGGCCCUGCUUUUGUGGGGUGCUCGAGUGGCGAACGGGUGAGUAACACGUGAGUAACCUGCCCUUGACUUUGGGAUAACUUCAGGAAACUGGGGCUAAUACCGGAUAGGAGCUCCUGCUGCAUGGUGGGGGUUGGAAAGUUUCGGCGGUUGGGGAUAGACUCGCGGCUUAUCCGCUUGUUGGUGGGGUAGUGGCUUUCCAAGGUUUUGACGGGUAGCCGGCCUGAGAGGGUGACCGGCCACAUGAGGCCUGAGAUACGGCCCAGACUCCUACGGGACGCAGCAGGGGGGAAUAUUGCAGAAUGGGCGGAAGCCAGAUGCAGCAACGCCGCGUGCGGGAUGACGGCCUUCGGGUUGUAAACCGCUUUCGCCGGUGACGAAGCGUGAGUGACGGUAAUGGGUAAAGAAGCACCGGCUAACUACGUG